rnacentral:rRNA from 1 species
CCUACGGGAGGCAGCAGUGGGGAAUAUUGCACAAUGGGCGGAAGCCUGAUGCAGCGACGCCGCGUGAGUGAAGAAGUAUCUCGGUAUGUAAAGCUCUAUCAGCAGGGAAGAAAAUGACGGUACCUGACUAAGAAGCCCCGGCUAACUACGUGCCAGCAGCCGCGGUAAUACGUAGGGGGCAAGCGUUAUCCGGAUUUACUGGGUGUAAAGGGAGCGUAGACGGCGACGCAAGUCUGGAGUGAAAGCCCGGGGCCCAACCCCGGGACUGCUUUGGAAACUGUGCUGCUGGAGUGCAGGAGAGGUAAGUGGAAUUCCUAGUGUAGCGGUGAAAUGCGUAGAUAUUAGGAGGAACACCAGUGGCGAAGGCGGCUUACUGGACUGUAACUGACGUUGAGGCUCGAAAGCGUGGGGAGCAAACAGGAUUAGAUACCCGAGUA